GACGAACGCUGGCGGCGUGCUUAACACAUGCAAGUCGAACGAAGAGCGAUUGAAGCUUUCUUCUAUCAAUCUUAGUGGCGCACGGGUGAGUAACGCGUAAUCAACCUGCCCUUCAGAGGGGGACAACAGUUGGAAACGACUGCUAAUACCGCAUACGAUCUAAUCUCGGCAUCCAGGAUAUAUGAAAGGCGGCCUCUACAUGUAAGCUCUCACUGCAGUUGGGUAUUGAGGCUGAUUAGCUAGUUGGAGGGGUACAGGCCCACGCAGGCGAUGAUCAGUAGCCGGUCUGAGGAGAAGAACGGCCACAAAGGGACUGAGACACGGGCCAGACUCCUACGGGAAGCAGCAGUGGGGAAUCUUACGAAAUGGACGAAAGUCUGACGGAGCAAAGCCGCGGGAGUGAUGACGGCCUUCGGGUUGUAAAGGUCUGUUGAUCGGGACGGAAGGCCUGCAUGCGAACAGUUAGAAGGAUUGACGGUACCGGAAUAGAAAGCAACGGCUAACUACGUG
rnacentral:rRNA from 1 species